rnacentral:rRNA from 1 species
UUGCCUACGGGAGGCAGCAGUGGGGAAUAUUGGACAAUGGGCGCAAGCCUGAUCCAGCCAUGCCGCGUGAGUGAUGAAGGCCUUAGGGUUGUAAAGCUCUUUCGCCGGUGAAGAUAAUGACGGUAACCGGAGAAGAAGCCCCGGCUAACUUCGUGCCAGCAGCCGCGGUAAUACGAAGGGGGCAAGCGUUGCUCGGAAUCACUGGGCGUAAAGCGCACGUAGGCGGGUCGUUAAGUCAGAGGUGAAAGCCUGGAGCUCAACUCCAGAACUGCCUUUGAUACUGGCGACCUCGAGUUCGAGAGAGGUUGGUGGAACUGCGAGUGUAGAGGUGAAAUUCGUAGAUAUUCGCAAGAACACCAGUGGCGAAGGCGGCCAACUGGCUCGAUACUGACGCUGAGGUGCGAAAGCGUGGGGAGCAAACAGGAUUAGAUACCCUAGUAGUCCC